rnacentral:lncRNA from 1 species
GGGCGCCCCACACUGGACGUAGCAGCAUGCAGAUGUGUCCCAUGGCGCCAUGGCAGCUGCCUGUGGGGAGUGAAUUUGCGCCCUGCGCUGUGACCAGGAAUUGUACCCGUAGGUACAUCUCCUGCUCAGCCAUCCUCAGAUGGAAGUCUGCUCCUCAUCUGUUCCUGCCCAAAAGCCUGUUCAAGUCUUGAGGAGCCGUCCUCGAUGCUGCUGGCGGAGCCUGAGUGAGACCCAGUGCCUCCGGGGUCAGGCCUGAAUCAGAGACACUGCAGCCCGGGACAGCCGCAUCAGUUACCUUGCCCUUCUGGAAAUGUGUAGGCGCGGUCCUCUUCUUGGGCAGUCUGGAAGUCUACCCCUCGGGCCUCGGCUCCUGUUCCAGAGGAGCAGAAACGCUCUUUGCAUCCAGCGUCGUGGAGUUCUUUGUUGGAACAUGUGCUGAGCACUGGCGCCAAGCCUUCGAACAAGGAGGUGAGCAGCCAAGAGCAACACCUGCAGGAAGGGCCGGGCUGCUGGUGUCGGAGGAGUGGCAGUAGGUUCAACAGGACCCUCAGACUGGCAGAGGACAGUGCAGCAGCCAACACACAAAACUACAAUUUGCACAUGGCUAAAGUCCGUGGUUAUCUUACAGCAUCCUGGGCACUUGACAUCCGUGAAGUGGGAAUUGGGUCUCUGCAGCAGGUGCUGCUUCUUGCAUUUCCUGUUCAUUUCUGUAGAGAGAUGGAGGAGCUCCUUUGCUUGAGGUGA